rnacentral:rRNA from 1 species
CACCCCACCUCACCCCCACUGGACCGCAUCUCCACUUACCUCCGCACCUCCCGGCGCACCUCCUUCCCCUCCUCAAUCCCCUCGCAGGCCCCGGAUCCAGGUGAGGUAGAGGAGCACCGUCGCACCUCCUUCCCCUUCCCCGGGCCUCGCCGACCCUCCCCUCGCCUCGAUCUGCAACGACCUGGACGACCCGCAGUAGGGCACGCCACCCUUCCCCUCCCCUCGAAUUUUUGGGGCGCCAACGACCCAGCGCGGUAUCCCGCGGUCGGGAUUGGGGGUGGAGGCCGCCGCCGAUCCCCUGCUGGAUCUCUUUCCACCAAUAUUCGACGACCUCCCCCUCGAUCUGGCGUCCCAUCGUCAACGCCUCUGUUGUCCCACGUUGCCACCUCGACCGAGCCGCCGUCCACACAUCUGAUUGGUCCUAGUGGACGCCGGCCACCACGGCAUCUGGACGGACCCCCUCCUCUCCUCACUCUUCUCCAUGGACGGUUGCGCACAGUCACCAUCUCCAACGCGCGAUUUCAGCAGAAGGAGCCCGGGGAGUGCCUCUCUCUCACCACUGUGGCGUUCCCGACAAAAGGGCUUGCAGUUUACAGAACAUUUUUUGUGUAUUUUUCCAGAUUAUUGCUGUUGAUUUGAGUGAAUUCAGUUUCUAAUGAAACUUGUUAAUUCUCUCAGUGUAGUUCGGCUGGCGCCGGCAUGAGGUUCACAUCUACAUGGUAGCUUGGACGCCUUGGCGUUGCAUGUCGUCAUUUGUUGUGGUGCCAUGCGGGUGUGUACAGCGUGCAGCUCGGAGCAAGCAGGCAUGCAGUUUGUGGAUUUUUUUGUCUGUCAAAUGUAUCCGGUUGGGAUAUGAUGUAUUGUGUGUAAAAACUAUUUGUUGAGAAGUUUAUUUCAACAAGCAUUAAAUAGUUCAUUUUCGAGAGAAAAAUGUGUUGAUGCAGCCCACUUCGAGGAGUCUUGUGGUUCAUUGCAUUCAACGAGGAGUCUUGAUGUCUCAUGCAGUUUGCUAUAAAACUGAUAGAUGUGGCUUUGAAGCUCACUUUUGUUGUCCCAUGCAGUUUGCUAUAAAACUCUUCGUGGUUCACUUGUCCCACUUGUAAAACGGGG